rnacentral:rRNA from 1 species
UAGGGAAUCUUCGGCAAUGGGGGCAACCCUGACCGAGCAACGCCGCGUGAGUGAAGAAGGUUUUUGGAUCGUAAAGCUCUGUUGUAAGAGAAGAACGUGUGUGAGAGUGGAAAGUUCACACAGUGACGGUAACUUACCAGAAAGGGACGGCUAACUACGUGCCAG